UCGUGCAGAGAGUCACGUGAUCGCCUUAGCUAUCACGCGCAUUGCAGGGUAGCUAAUAACAGGAAAACGCAUAAACAGUGCAAGUUUAAUCACAAAGCGAGUAUACCUCGACUCACAAAUCAUCAACGUGAGCUUGGCAUGGGAAAUGUAAUACUUGACUGUCCGCUGCAGCAGUUGCACGAGCCCUGGGCUGCAGUCGUCAACCAAUACACAGUCCGAAGACCCGUAUGCAACAGAAGGGCGUCGUUGCAGAUCGUUCAAAGACUUGGGCGCAUGUUGUGUCGUCACACCAAGAUGACGUGCACAUCAGGCUCCACGUGGGAAGAGAGAUCUGGUAUAUAUACACGGUAACUUGUCUCUGUUGACCAGUUCCUCUGUCGCAAAGGAUAGCAAGACGGGCAUCAUGAAGUUCUCUCUCAUCCUCGUUAUUGUUGCUAUGCUUCUGGGUGUCAGCCUUGCCCAUCACCGUCGUCGACAUCGUCAUCACCAUCACUCAUCCUCCGUGAAGCACGUGCACCACUACCACUCAUCAGGAUCAUCAGGCUCAUCCGGGUCUUCCGGCUGCGGCUGUUGUGGGGGUAGCUCCGGAUCCUCCUCUUCCUCCUCCGAGGAUUACCCCAUCCCAAUCCCCGUCCCCAUUUCUAGCGGCGGCAGCAGCAGCGGCAGCAGUGGUUCCUCCGACGCCGCCCUUCUUCAGGCUCUCAUCAACGCUGGGAAAUAGAUAGAUAGUUGCCAUUCUCGGAUGUACUGACGUUUGAAUGAUCUUUGAC